GACGAACGCUGGCGGCGUGCUUAACACAUGCAAGUCGAACGAUGAAGAAGAGCUUGCUCUUCGGAUUAGUGGCGAACGGGUGAGUAACACGUGACUAACCUGCCCCUUUCUCUGGGAUAACGCUCCGAAAGGAGUGCUAAUACCGGAUACUCACAUCGAGGCACAUGCCUUGAUGUGGAAAGCUUUUCGGAAAGGGAUGGAGGCGCGGCCUAUCAGCUUGUUGGUGAGGUAACGGCUCACCAAGGCGACGACGGGUAGCCGGCCUGAGAGGGCGACCGUCCACACUGGGGCUGAGACACGGCCCAGACUCCGACGGGAGGCAGCAGUGGGGAAUAUUGCACAAUGGGCGAAAGCCUGAUGCAGCGGCGCCGCGUGAGGGAUGAAGGUCUUCGGAUUGUAAACCUCUUUCAGUAGGGACGAAGCGAAAGUGACGGUACCUAAAGAAGAAGCACCGGCUAACUACGUGCCAGCAGCCGCUGUAA
rnacentral:rRNA from 1 species